UGCAAGUCGAACGCACAGCGAAAGGUGCUUGCACCUUUCAAGUGAGUGGCGAACGGGUGAGUAACACGUGGAUAACCUACCUCAAGGUUGGGGAUAACAUUUGGAAACAGAUGCUAAUACCGAAUAAAACUUAGUAUCGCAUGAUACCAGGUUAAAAGGCGCUACGGCGUCACCUAGAGAUGGAUCCGCGGUGCAUUAGUUAGUUGGUGGGGUAAAGGCUUACCAAGACAAUGAUGCAUAGCCGAGUUGAGAGACUGAUCGGCCACAUUGGGACUGAGACACGGCCCAAACUCCUACGGGAGGCUGCAGUAGGGAAUCUUCCACAAUGGGCGAAAGCCUGAUGGAGCAACGCCGCGUGUGUGAUGAAGGCUUUCGGGUCGUAAAGCACUGUUGUAUGGGAAGAACAGCUAGAGUAGGGAAUGACUUUAGUUUGACGGUACCAUACCAGAAAGGGACGGCUAAAUAC
rnacentral:rRNA from 1 species